rnacentral:antisense_RNA from 1 species
GAUUCUUCCCAAUUCUACCGCCACCAUUCUGGUUCAAGCUACCUGAUGUCACCACCAUUCAGUGCAGAAAUGAUGGGCAAUCACCAAAGCUCAACUUACUAAAGCAAUUAUACUGGCUAACUUAUCCAGGUCCAGCUUUGACUUUACCUGGUUUUUUAUAGAAUGCUACAACUCCCUCUAGAAGCUUCUCUUGAUAAGGUAAAACAUGCACAGAGCAAAUUUCGGUUGUAUCCUAGAAAUGAUAGCCAUAUUCAGGAUACUGGUUACACCUGACGAAACAUCUCCAUGAAAGUUAAGCAUACACAGGAUCUCACUUUGUUACCCAGGCUAGAUAGAGUGCAAUGGUGUGACCACAGCUCACUGAAGCCUCAACCUCCUGAGCUCACUUUUAAGCAAUCCUCUCACUUCGGCCUCCUGAGUAGCUGGGCCUACAGGCAUGUACCAACACUCCCAGCAAGUUUUUCUUAUUUUUUGUGAAGACAGAGUCUUGCAGUAUUGCCCAAGCUGGACUUGAACUCCUGGCCUCAAGCAAUCCUCCCAUCUAGGCCUCCCAAAGUGCUAGGAUUACAGGCAUGAGCCACUGUGCCAAGCAACACUUGCAGUUUUUAAGUGAAAAUGAUCCUGUAAAUAUACAUAUGAAUAAAAUCUAGAAAG